rnacentral:rRNA from 1 species
AGUGAACGCUGGCGGUAGGCCUAACACAUGCAAGUCGAACGGCAGCACAGUAAGAGCUUGCUCUUACGGGUGGCGAGUGGCGGACGGGUGAGGAAUACAUCGGAAUCUACUUUUUCGUGGGGGAUAACGUAGGGAAACUUACGCUAAUACCGCAUACGACCUACGGGUGAAAGCAGGGGAUCUUCGGACCUUGCGCGAUUGAAUGAGCCGAUGUCGGAUUAGCUAGUUGGCGGGGUAAAGGCCCACCAAGGCGACGAUCCGUAGCUGGUCUGAGAGGAUGAUCAGCCACACUGGAACUGAGACACGGUCCAGACUCCUACGGGAGGCAGCAGUGGGGAAUAUGGGACAAUGGGCGCAAGCCUGAUCCAGCCAUACCGCGUGGGUGAAGAAGGCCUUCGGGUUGUAAAGCCCUUUUGUUGGGAAAGAAAAGAAGCAGGUUAAUACCCCGCUGUUCUGACGGGACCCAAAGAAUAAGCACCGGCUAACUUCGU